rnacentral:rRNA from 1 species
GACGAACGCUGGCGGCGUGCUUAACACAUGCAAGUCGAACGGUGAAGCUCCAGCUUGCUGGCGUGGAUCAGUGGCGAACGGGUGAGUAACACGUGAGCAACCUGCCCCAGACUCUGGAAUAAGCGCUGGAAACGGCGUCUAAUACUGGAUACGAGAUCAAGCCGCAUGGUUAUGGUCUGGAAAGUUUUUCGGUUUGGGAUGGGCUCGCGGCCUAUCAGCUUGUUGGUGAGGUAAUGGCUCACCAAGGCGACGACGGGCAGCCGGCCUGAGAGGGCGACCGGCCACACUGGGACUGAGACACGGCCCAGACUCCUACGGGAGGCAGCAGUGGGGAAUAUUGCACAAUGGGCGAAAGCCUGAUGCAGCGACGCCGCGUGAGGGAUGACGGCCUUCGGGUUGUAAACCUCUUUCAGCAGGGAAGAAGCGAAAGUGACGGUACCUGCAGAAGAAGCACCGGCUAACUACGUG